rnacentral:rRNA from 1 species
AUUGAACGCUGGCGGCAUGCCUUACACAUGCAAGUCGAACGGCAGCACGGGAGCAAUCCUGGUGGCGAGUGGCGAACGGGUGAGUAAUAUAUCGGAACGUGCCCAGUCGUGGGGGAUAACGUAGCGAAAGCUACGCUAAUACCGCAUACGAUCUAUGGAUGAAAGCGGGGGAUCGCAACACCUCGCGCGAUUGGAGCGGCCGAUAUCAGAUUAGGUAGUUGGUGGGGUAAAGGCUCACCAGGCCGACGAUCUAUAGCUGGUCUGAGAGGACGAUCAGCCACACUGGGACUGAGACACGGCCCAGACUCCUACGGGAGGCAGCAGUGGGGAAUUUUGGACAAUGGGCGCAAGCCUGAUCCAGCAAUGCCGCGUGCAGGAUGAAGGCCUUCGGGUUGUAAACUGCUUUUGUACGGAACGAAAAGCCCUGGGUUAAUACCCUGGGGUCAUGACGGUACCGUAAGAAUAAGCACCGGCUAACUACGUGCCAGCAGCCGCCGUAAUAC